UCUAUAAGGUGCACAAGUAGAUGUGAGAAAGAUAAAUGAGGCUGGAGUUUGGGAGGCUCUAGGCUGGAGAUAGAAACUCAGGAGGCGUUGGCAUAUGGGUGAUAUUUAAAGUCAUGACAGGGAUGCACUUCUGAAGAGGAUGUAAAGGGAGGAGACAGCAAACCCAACAGAGCUCUGAAGUUACCAGUCCAGUGGAGGAACAAUCUACAGAGGAACUGAGAGGGAGAAAGCAGGAAAGGAGACAAGGACCCAUAGAUGUGGGGUCCAAGAAACCAAAAGAGGACCAUACUAAGUAAACCUCUCAAUGUCUGGAGGUGGUGAUAUGAAAAUUGGAGGAAACAACCAAAUAUCUAUUUGAUGCUUUCAAUCAUGAAUACAGAGUAAAAACUAGUUACUCCAGGCUCCUGUCCUCUCUCCCUCCACCACCACGCUCUUGUAAAACUAAAACGUUGGAAUCCUCGACUCGGAAACCUGGGGACAGUGUGAGGCGGUCCUCGGCGCGGGGCAGUGAGCAGUCUGCAGUGCCACAGGCAGCACAGAGAAUGCGGCCGGCUUCAGCUGAGCUCCCUGCACUCGGGACGGGAGGAGCCCGGCUGGGGCUGAGAGCAGAGAGCCUGCUGGCUCCGGGCCCCUUGUCGCCUCUUGGCCUGAGAAGUCAAGGGCAGAACCUGCCUCCUGCAGUGGCUGGGGCGAGGCCAGCCUGGUCUCCCUCGCCGUCCCCACCUCCCCAGACCGCAGCGCGGCACUGCCCGGAGCUCUGAGGGAGCACGGCUUAGUCCUCCUGUCCCAGCCCUCCACAGCCCAGCCUCUCUGGCUCUCUGCCCCAAGGGCGGUUUCUCAGCAGGAGUCAGACCGUGGCCAGUGGAAGUAUUUCUUUAUCCAGAUAGGGUUCUUUCUCUUUUCAAAAAUGAUUCUGAAAUUUGCUGGCUAGGGGCUCUGUCGACUGACUGCCGUUCAGCCCACGGGAGGCAGGUUGUUCUGCAGCCUCUCCUCGGAAGCAUUUCUAACUGAGGCGGGUGGCCUCCAUGCACGGUGCGCCUCUCACGUCUGGGGCGGCCUGGAACGGCUCCGUCUCACGAACGGAUGGGGUGCCUGGUCUCACACGCGUCUCACCUCUUGCGGUGAGAGCUGCUAAACUGCACUGCACCACUUCUAAGUGAACUGUCGUGAACCACUGUCCGGGUGGUUUCCUAUUCUAGAAGGCAGUAGUGCGACUUCACUCACUGAAGACCAUUCAUGUCACUUGGGUGGGGCCAACCCUGAGCACUAGAAGCAAAGAGCAGGGGGCAGAAAAUGCGUGGGAGAUAAACCGGGCAGAGUGGGGUGGGGGGCAAGACAGAAGGAAUCACAGUCGGAACAGGGGCCAAAGCGCUGUGCUCAAAUGUCUCGGCCAACUCCGGGGCGCGUGUUCUCUAUGCCCUGGACACGAGAGUCACCUCUGGCACCUGCCACCCUGGAGCCCCGCUGCCCACCUGGCCUGGCAACCUGAAAUCCCUCCCAGAGGCUUCCUGGCUGGGAGGGCACCAUGCAAGGCCCCGAGGGAGGAAUUACAGGCCUCGGCUGCCCCGGAGUGUUUGAUCAUCACUCUUGGAGGCUAAAUACAGAGAGGAGAGAAAAGCCACGCUAGGUUUGGAAAGUCUAGCGAUUUCUUCAUGGUGUGUUUAGUCUCCCGCGUUUACCUCAGAGUUAUCUAGAGAAAUUGAACAUCUGUAAAUCCGAAAUAAAAAAGGAAGGGUUCUUUUUUUAAUUAAAUUCUUAUUC